ACUGUUUCUGUCACACAGGCUGGAGUGCAGUGGUGUGAUCGUGGCUCACUGCAGUCUGAAACUGCUGGGAUCCAGUGAUCAGUCAUCCCACCUCAUCCUACCAAGUAGUGGGGACCACAGGUUCAUGCCACCCGGGUCUCGCUAUGUUGCCCAGACUGAUCUUGAGCUCCUGACCUCAAGCGAUCCUCUCACCUUGGCCUCCCAAAGUGCAAGGAUUACACGUAUGAGCCACCAUGCCUGACCCCUACCCUGCCUAUUGAGAACCAAAAGAAGGAUCCAAAUUCUCCUUAGCUCAACUCGAGCCAUUUCCCGAUUGCUUCAUCAGCAAGGAGCUGGUUAUUGGGCUGUCCAGGCCUCCCAAACUGCACAGAAAUGAGAAACAGGACCUUGCUGUGUCACUCAGGCUGGCGUUCAGUGGUCCUAUCACGGCUCACUGUAGCCUCAAACUCCCAGGGUCAAGCGAUCCUACCACUUCAACCUUCCCAGUAGCUGGGACUACAGCUGGAUCUACCAUGAAAGACUUCAGAGUCUAGGAAGAGAGACUGACUGGGCAACAUGUUAUUCAGGAAGUGGUGAAUUAAGUGUGGCAGGAAUACUUUGUAGCGACAGUAAUUUGCUUGUAUGGAAUUUUGCCUGAGAGACCUCACUACAGUUUCUAAUCUUUUGAUGUUAUCAUCCAUCCCUGUCCUUGUCAAAUAGUUUGGAAUAGGAGAUGGGGUCUCACCCUGUCACCCAGGCUGGAGUACAGUGGUGCCAUCACAGCUCGCUGCAGCUUUGAACUCCUGGGCUAAGGAUCCUCCUGCCUCAGCCUCCUGAGUAGCUGGGACUGUAGACAAGGUCUUGCUCGGUUGUCCAGGCUGGAGUGUGGUGGUGCUAUCACAGCUGUCUGCAGUCUCAACCUCCCAGGCUCAAGCAAUCCUCCCACGUCAGCCUCCCAAGUUGCUGAGACUAUAGGUGCUUGCCUCUAUGCCCAACUCAUAUUUGGACUUUUUCUAUAUGUGGGUUCCAGAGGGAUGACUGCGAAACGUGAGUAUGCAUAGAUUUUGGUAUAUGCAGAGAUAGGUGGCUGGAACUAAUUCUCUCUGUAUACCAAGGGACAACUGUAUGUGGUUUUGCAGUUGUGCUGUGGGACAUAUAUUGUUCCAUAGUCUUUAAAAUAAUAAUGUGUAAUGACAAAUAAUUUUUAAUAGAGUGGAAUAAUAAUAUUGAUAAAAGUAGCAACUGGCCAAGUGUGGUGGCUCACACCAUUAAUCGCAAUACUUUGGGAGGCUGAGGCAGGAGGAUGGCUUGAGGUCAAGAGUUUGAGACAGGUCUCGGAAAGAAAGGGAGUCACCAUCUCUACAGAAAAAAACAUGAAUUAGCCUAGUGUGGUGAUGUGUUCCUGUAGUCCCAGCUACUUGGGAGGCUGAGGUGGGAAGAUCACUUGAGCCCAGGGAAGCUGAGACUGCAGUGAGUCAUGAUCAGGCCUCUGCACUCCAGUCUG